GAUGAACGCUGGCGGCGUGCCUAAUACAUGCAAGUCGAGCGAACAGACGAGGAGCUUGCUCCUCUGACGUUAGCGGCGGAUGGGUGAGUAACACGUGGAUAACCUACCUAUAAGACUGGGAUAACUUCGGGAAACCGGAGCUAAUACCGGAUAAUAUAUUGAACCGCAUGGUUCAAUAGUGAAAGACGGUUUUGCUGUCACUUAUAGAUGGAUCCGCGCCGCAUUAGCUAGUUGGUAAGGUAACGGCUUACCAAGGCAACGAAGCGUAGCCGACCUGAGAGGGUGAUAGGCCACACUGGAACUGGACCACGGUCCAGACUCCUACGGGAGGCAGCAGUAGGGAAUCUUCCGCAAUGGGCGAAAGCCUGACGGAGCAACGCCGCGUGAGUGAUGAAGGUCUUCGGAUCGUAAAACUCUGUUAUGAGGGAAGAACAAAUGUGUAAGUAACUAUGCACGUCUUGACGGUACCUAAUCAGAAAGCCACGGCUAACUACGUG
rnacentral:rRNA from 1 species